rnacentral:snRNA from 1 species
GUCCCUUCGGGUACAUACGAUAAAAUUGAAACGAUAUAGAGAAGAUUAGCAUGGUCCCUGCGCAAGGAUGACACGUACAAAUCGAGAAAUGGUCCAAAUUUUU